CCUACGGGAGGCAGCAGUGAGGAAUAUUGGUCAAUGGACGAGAGUCUGAACCAGCCAAGUAGCGUGAAGGAUGACUGCCCUAUGGGUUGUAAACUUCUUUUAUAUGGGAAUAAAAUGUUCCACGUGUGGGAUUUUGUAUGUACCAUAUGAAUAAGGAUCGGCUAACUCCGUGCCAGCAGCCGCGGUAAUACGGAGGAUCCGAGCGUUAUCCGGAUUUAUUGGGUUUAAAGGGAGCGUCGGUGGAUUGUUAAGUCAGUUGUGAAAGUUUGCGGCUCAACCAUAAAAUUGCAGUUGAAACUGGCAGUCUUGAGUACAGUAGAGGUGGGCGGAAUUCGUGGUGUAGCGGUGAAAUGCUUAGAUAUCACGAAGAACUCCGAUUGCGAAGGCAGUUCACUGGACUGCAACUGACACUGAGGCUCGAAAGUGUGGGUAUCAAACAGGAUUAGAUACCCGAGUAGUC
rnacentral:rRNA from 1 species